GAUGAACGCUGGCGGCGUGCCUAAUACAUGCAAGUCGAGCGAACGGACGAGAAGCUUGCUUCUCUGAUGUUAGCGGCGGACGGGUGAGUAACACGUGGAUAACCUACCUAUAAGACUGGGAUAACUUCGGGAAACCGUAGCUAAUACCGGAUAAUAUUUUGAACCGCAUGGUUCAAAAGUGAAAGACGGUCUUGCUGUCACUUAUAGAUGGAUCCGCGCUGCAUUAGCUAGUUGGUAGGGUAACGGCUUACCAAGGCAACGAUGCAUAGCCGACCUGAGAGGGUGAUCGGCCACACUGGAACUGAGACACGGUCCAGACUCCUACGGGAGGCAGCAGUAGGGAAUCUUCCGCAAUGGGCGAAAGCCUGACGGGGCAACGCCGCGUGAGUGAUGAAGGUCUUCGGAUCGUAAAACUCUGUUAUUAGGGAAGAACAUAUGUGUAAGUAACUGUGCACAUCUUGACGGUACCUAAUCAGAAAGCCACGGCUAACUACGUG
rnacentral:rRNA from 1 species